CAACACGAAGCUUAAAGCUAAAUUCAUGGAAGUUGGGCAUGCUACGAAGUCGGGUCCAGGGGCAGUGGAGGCCAUAGUUUCGGAGGGCGUGGACAUGAUAGACUAUAGGCAAAAGUUGGUCAAGCUGGCCGACACGUCGGAGGCAGGAUGGAGGGCUGUCGACGAGUAUAUCGUUAAUCCCAUUGCGGAGGAUUCUGAGGACGAAAAGAGGAUGGACCGGGCCACUAAUAGGGCCAACAGGAAAAUGAAGGCGGUAUCAAAGUCUAAAUCAGCGAGGGGAGGUCGCAGAUUUAAUACCCCUUAUCAACGAUUCGGCGGACCUACGGCUACUAUUACUUCUAAUACGACGGACAGCAGCAGGUCCGGGCCGGCAUGGAGGGCACAGCGACCGGGUCUAUGCUAUAGUUGUGGUAAGCCUGGCCACUGGAGGUUGGAGUGUCCCGGGGUGUCCGGAGGGAUGGCAGCCACGAACGGCAGUAAGAUAAGUAAAUUUUGCUAUUUUAAGCAUGUUCUCCCUGAUGGUACGCCUUUGUGUAAUUCAGAUGAGGCACGAAAGGGCGACGUAAAGCAUUCUGAUGUUUUAAAUGUUAAUUUGUCUAGCAUGAAAGGUAAGGUCAGCGAGUCGCCGAUGGGUAGGUUGAGGCAGAGAGUGGAUUUCUGGCGAGAGAAAGGUACAUGCGAUGCCGUAUUAUCCAUUGUGUCGGACGGGUAUAAGAUCCCGUUUCGGGUAAUCCCGACUGGCGUUUAUUUGCACAAUAACAAGUCUGCACGAAACGAUCCAGUUUUUGUUGGGUCUGAGAUAGGAAAGUUGCUAGGGCUGGGUUUAGUUUCCGAAGUAGUGACACAGCCGUGCAUCGUAAACCCACUUACUGUUGCUUACAACAGGGCAGGUAAGCCACGCCUUGUUUUGGAUUGUCGGCAUAUCAAUCCUCAUUUGCAUAAAUUCAAGUUUAAGUACGAGGAUGCCAGGACGGCACGUGAUUUGUUCACGGAAGGUGAGUUUUUGUUUACAUUCGACCUCAAGUCUGCUUACCAUCAUGUGGAGAUUUUUCCUAGUCAUCGGACCUUUUUGGGUUUUAGUUGGGAAGAUCAAGGUAUAACAAGAUAUUACAUUUUCAACGUGUUGCCUUUCGGCAUAGCCACAGCAGGGUACGUAUUUACAAAAGUAUUACGUGAGGUAGUCAAACACGUGCGCUCAGAAGGGCACAAGCUGAUCAUGUAUUUGGACGACGGUAUCGGUGGUCAUGAGAAUCAAGGCGGGGCCAAUGAGGCCAGCAGGUAUGUACAGCGAGUGUUGUUUGGAUACGGUUUUUUGAUAGCCGAUGACAAGUGUCAAUGGCAAGCUUCGCAGUGCGUUACGUGGCUGGGGUACACGUGGUCGAUGGCAGAAGGCGUGGUUAGGGUGACCGAGGUACGGUUGGAAGGACUACUCGGGCUAUUACGUCAUACAAUGAGCCUUGUCAAUCAGCGAGGUCAGAUGUGGUUCACUGCACGAUACGUGGCUAGUAUCAUAGGUAAGAUUAUAUCGAUGCAAAGUGUAGUUGGCAGUCUGGCCAGACUACGUACACGUGAGUUGUACGCAUGUGUGAUGUUGAGAGCAGGUGGGAAUGCUCGGGUGUUACUCACACAUAGUGCUUUGGCUGAAAUAAAGCACUGGUUGUUGAAUAUGCAUGAUUUAAAUGCCAAGGGUUCCAGGUUGAAGGACACCCGGGUGUGUACAAACUUAGUUUGCACAGACGCGUCUGGCGUUGGGUAUGGCGGGUUUGUGACCCAAUGCGCAUGUUUACAUAACGAGGCGUGUGAGUUUGUGAAUGACAUGCAGGUCAUCGAGUCUCUGUGUGACGCAUCAGGUACACAGGUACCUGUGGCGGUUCCAUUGGAGGAAUCGGUAGGAUCAGGCGCUGAUGGCUUUACCUCCAUGGGGGGUAGUACGGUGAGUAUUCCGAGUGUAGCGGAAUCGGGGGGUAUGUCGCAUGUAAUAGGUGCAUAGAGUGAUGUCGAAAGGUCAUUCAGUUCUACAUGGAGAGAACUAGAGGCAGCAAAACGGGUGUUAUACAGUGUGGCCGACGAGAUGAGAGGCGUAGGAUUGGAGAGGACUCUGAAGGACGCUAUUAAUGCGUCAGGGGUCACGGAGGGGUCAUAUCUGUACUGCUGUUCAGAGGGCAUGGCAGUUAGGUUGCUGUCCAGCAAGAGCGAAAAUACUAACAAAAAAUACAGUGGAAGUUUCCGGAGAUGGCAGUCGUU